rnacentral:lncRNA from 1 species
AUCCGGACAUCGAGUACCAUUGCUAGAUGGUCACUUCGAUUAGUACAGGAAUUGGUUCCUAUGCUACCGGCUUAGGUUCGAACCUGUGGGGUCACACACAUUAGAGGUUCCUAUCUGAUCUGAUGGCUGAUGUAGAAUCCUACAUGUUUGAGACUCAGUGAUCGAGAAUCAGGAUUCUCUGAUCAUGAGUUCCACACAUUAUGGGUACCGGGGUCAAGAGUACCACUGGUUGGGA